rnacentral:rRNA from 1 species
AUACGUAGGUGGCAAGCGUUGUCCGGAUUUACUGGGCGUAAAGAGUAUGUAGGCGGAUAUUUAAGUCAGGGGUGAAAUCCCAGGGCUCAACCUCGGAACUGCCUUUGAUACUGGGUGUCUAGAGUGUGGAAGAGGUAAGUGGAAUUCCGAGUGUAGAGGUGAAAUUCGUAGAUAUUCGGAGGAACACCAGUGGCGAAGGCGGCUUACUGGUCCAUUACUGACGCUGAGGUGCGAAAGCGUGGGGAGC